UACGUAGGUGGCAAGCGUUGUCCGGAUUUAUUGGGUUUAAAGGGUGCGUAGGCGGUUCCAUAAGGCCGGGGGGAAAUACGGCAGCUUAACUGUCGAGGUGCCAUUGAUACUGCGGAACUUGAGUACUGAUGAGGUAGGCGGAAUUGACGGUGUAGCGGUGAAAUGCUUAGAUAUUGUCAAGAACACCGAUAGCGAAGGCAGCUUACCAAGCAGUAACUGACGCUGAGGCACGAAAGUGCGGGGAUCAAACAGG
rnacentral:rRNA from 1 species